AGGCUUUGAUCCUGGCUCAGAGCGAACGCUGGCGGCAGGCCUAACACAUGCAAGUCGAACGAAGUCUUCGGACUUAGUGGCAGACGGGUGAGUAACGCGUGGGAACGUGCCCAUCGGUUCGGGAUAACCAAGGGAAACUUUGGCUAAUACCGGAUACGUGCGAGAGCAGAAAGAUUUAUCGCCGAUGGAUCGGCCCGCGUCUGAUUAGCUGGUUGGUGGGGUAACGGCUCGCCAAGGCGACGAUCAGUAGCUGGUUUGAGAGGAUGAUCAGCCACACUGGGACUGAGACACGGCCCAGACUCCUACGGGAGGCAGCAGUGGGGAAUAUUGGACAAUGGGCGCAAGCCUGAUCCAGCCAUGCCGCGUGAGUGAUGAAGGCCUUAGGGUUGUAAAGCUCUUUUAUCCGGGACGAUAAUGACGGUACCGUGAAGAAUAAGCCCCGGCUAACUUCGU
rnacentral:rRNA from 2 species